CCUACGGGUGGCUGCAGUGGGGAAUAUUGGACAAUGGGGGCAACCCUGAUCCAGCCAUGCCGCGUGUGUGAAGAAGGCCCUCGGGUUGUAAAGCACUUUCAGUGAGGAAGAACGCCUGGUGGUUAAUACCCAUCAGGAAAGACAUCACUCACAGAAGAAGCACCGGCUAACUCCGUGCCAGCAGCCGCGGUAAUACGGAGGGUGCGAGCGUUAAUCGGAAUUACUGGGCGUAAAGCGCGCGUAGGUGGCUUGAUAAGCCGGUUGUGAAAGCCCCGGGCUCAACCUGGGAACGGCAUCCGGAACUGUCAAGCUAGAGUGCAGGAGAGGAAGGUAGAAUUCCCGGUGUAGCGGUGAAAUGCGUAGAGAUCGGGAGGAAUACCAGUGGCGAAGGCGGCCUUCUGGACUGACACUGACACUGAGGUGCGAAAGCGUGGGUAGCAAACAGGAUUAGAUACCCCGUGUAGUC
rnacentral:rRNA from 1 species